ACACAUGCAGUCGAACGGCAGCACGGGGGCAACCCUGGUGGCGAGUGGCGAACGGGUGAGUAAUACAUCGGAACGUGUCCUGUAGUGGGGGAUAGCCCGGCGAAAGCCGGAUUAAUACCGCAUACGACCUAAGGGAGAAAGCGGGGGAUCUUCGGACCUCGCGCUAUAGGGGCGGCCGAUGGCAGAUUAGCUAGUUGGUGGGGUAAAGGCCUACCAAGGCGACGAUCUGUAGCUGGUCUGAGAGGACGACCAGCCACACUGGGACUGAGACACGGCCCAGACUCCUACGGGAGGCAGCAGUGGGGAAUUUUGGACAAUGGGGGAAACCCUGAUCCAGCAAUGCCGCGUGUGUGAAGAAGGCCUUCGGGUUGUAAAGCACUUUUGUCCGGAAAGAAAACCUCUUGGCUAAUACCUAGGGGGGAUGACGGUACCGGAAGAAUAAGCACCGGCUAACUACGUGCCAGCAGCCGCGGUAAUACGUAGGGUGCGAGCGUUAAUCGGAAUUACUGGGCGUAAAGCGUGCGCAGGCGGUUUGUUAAGACAGAUGUGAAAUCCCCGGGCUUAACCUGGGAACUGCAUUUGUGACUGG
rnacentral:rRNA from 1 species